AGGAAGACGAACAGCUUAGAUAAAGAAAAUGUUAACUUAAUGUGUAUGUAACAGUAAUUAAUUAAUUCGUGCCGUGAGUGAACGUUUUUCAAUAAGGCGGGAUUAACUAAUGUACCAUAAUGACUGGUUGUGAGAACAGUGUGUGUCCUUGUCAUGUAGAUAAGUCGAUUAAUACCGAAAUGUACGCAAACACAGUUACUUUGAUCUCCUUGACACAUCAUUGUCUGCGAGAACAAGCGCGUUAUCGAUCACUUGAAAAAAUCCCGUAAAAUGUCGACGCCUAUUCGAUGUGUUUGUUGUCCCUAUCGAGUGUGGUGCACCGUAAAACAUUGGCGAAAAUUAUGAAAAAUUGCGUAGUAGUGUACAAACGUUCGUGUUUUGGUUUCGAAAAUUUUAUCGGAAUUGUUGGAGUGAACGCGCGCCGCCCAACAUCAAGUAAAAAAUGAUGCACACGAUGUGUACUGAUGUGAAUUCUACUUUCACUAUAAUAAAACACUCAGAAUUGGGGAGACUGUCCCGAGAAUUCACUUUAUUUCUCUACGAUCGCACAAUUGUAACUUUGAUUUAGUUCAUUUUAAUGGCAAUCUUGAUCACGAUUUCCACGAGUGUUUCUAAGCCAUAAUUCUCAACAUGUACCAUCAAUUGAAGUACCUGGUGAAUGAGUACACUUGAUGGACCGACAGCAUCUGCUGCGCUUGUAAGACAUAUGCUUCUUCGUGUUUGACUUUGUCGAUUUUUCUUAUUGCUGGCGCUUGUGCGGCGGAAGUACAACUUAGCAGAACAUUCGUCACAUAAACGUCCCAUCUUCACAAUUGAAUGAAUCACAUACUGCAUGAGUCGAUCCAUUGGUUAUGAUGGAUCAGAGGGAGUUCUUCAGCGAUUCCGCCUCGAUUGAAUUUACUACUCUUCAUCUUCGAUUGAUGGAAAUUAUUCACCGUACGAACAACAUUUCGACCGCAUCCAAACGAUUCGGAACGACUGCAUCAGAAGGAGAUAAAACAUUUUGCAGAGGCUUUCAACUCAGAGGUUUUUUUUGUUUUUAAGUUUUUUGAUCCAACAUUCAUGCGAAGCGAAUGUUCGUUUUUUAUAUUGCCACGAUAUCGUGGUUUGUGCAGUAAACUCAUAUUGCCUUAGAAUUAAUUCAUUAUAAAUGAUAGCAUGUAAGAACUACAUAAGUACUUAAGUGACGCACGUAUUCCUUACGUCAUACCCUCAUCUCACACGUAACAAUUACAGAAUAU